GUCCAGACUCCUACGGGAGGCAGCAGUGGGGAAUAUUGCACAAUGGGGGAAACCCUGAUGCAGCGACGCCGCGUGAGUGAAGAAGUAUUUCGGUAUGUAAAGCUCUAUCAGCAGGGAAGAAAAUGACGGUACCUGACUAAGAAGCCCCGGCUAACUACGUGCCAGCAGCCGCGGUAAUACGUAGGGGGCAAGCGUUAUCCGGAUUUACUGGGUGUAAAGGGAGCGUAGACGGCAUGGCAAGUCAGAUGUGAAAGCCCGGGGCUCAACCCCGGGACUGCAUUUGAAACUGUCAGGCUGGAGUGCAGGAGAGGUAAGUGGAAUUCCUAGUGUAGCGGUGAAAUGCGUAGAUAUUAGGAGGAACACCAGUGGCGAAGGCGGCUUACUGGACGGCAACUGACGCUGAGGCUCGAAAGCGUGGGGAGCAAACAGGAUUAGAUACCCGAGUACC
rnacentral:rRNA from 1 species